CCAAAGUGUCAAAGGUACUCCUAGGGAGCCCUUUUUCAUAUGUGUAUGUGUUUUUGGUAUAAAAUAUGUUUGAGAAAAAUAGAGUGUGGGGAUGAGGAAAGAAUUUAUUUAUUAUAUUUUUGUGUUUGACAAGACCUUCAGACUUGUGCCUACGUACCAACAUAAAAAUGAGGGAUCAAAACCUCGUAGUUUGUGGUAUCAAUUUCAAAAUGAGUGGAUUGCUUUUAAUAAAAAUUUAAGUUAAAA
rnacentral:lncRNA from 1 species